rnacentral:misc_RNA from 1 species
AAAAAUUACUAGGAAAAUCACUAUAACCAUGUAACCUUCGUAAAAUGUUUGGAAGCUUCGAUAUUAAGAGACAUUAAGAAUGCACAAUUAUCAAGAAGAUACACAAGCGUGAUUGCCAUUAACAUGCUUUCACAACAGUCAGCAGCCAUCAUUUCCUGACAACUAUAACAAAUGGGUUGCUAGCGCCACUUAGUGUUCCAAGUAAAAACCCAGUACACCAAACCAAAUUUUACAUAGUAGAAAACGCAAAUCAAAGCUAUUAGGAGUGUUCUAUUGCCCAAUUUCCUUCAAUUCUUGUCUCGGAUCCCUCUCCUCUGAUAUGAAGUCUGAGCUGUCUUCAGCAACUGAUACUCCAUCAUUAUAAUCAGCAGGCUGGGGUGCUGUAAACAAUUCAUCCUUUUCUAAUUCAUCCAACUUCUCCUUUGAUUCCCCUUUCAGUAGUUCUACAACGUCAAGCAUUGUGGGUCUUGUCUCAGGCCGAUUGUCGGCGCACUUGAGAGCAACAAGAACAACUCUUUUCAACUCUUCUUCCUCAAACUUACCAUUUAGCUUUGGAUCUGCCAGCUCACUGAACUUCCUUUCACAUGCCAAUGGCAGAGCCCAAUCAGUAAUUGUACGUUUCACGGUUCCGCUCGUUUUCUCAAGGGGUUUCUUGCCACUGGCAAGCUCUAGCAAGAGAAUGCCAAAGCUAUACACAUCACAGCUCUCUGAUGCCUUCCCCAGCAUAGCAUAUUCAGGGGCAAGGUAGCCAAGCGUACCUUUAACUCUUGUGGUUACAUGGGUUGCCCCAUCAGGGAUUAGCUUUGCGAAUCCAAAAUCAGCAACCUGUGCCUGGAAAUCUGAAUCUAGCAACACAUUGCUAGCUUUGAUGUCUCUGUGGAUGAUAUGUGGGGUUGCAUGGUGGUGAAGGUAGGCGAUACCCUCUGCAGAACCCAUGGCAAUAUUCAUCCGCCUCUUCCAGUCAAGAUGACACUCUGCUGAGUGCUGCCCAUGAAGAUGAGAAAGCAAGCUCAAAUUAGGCAUAUAGUCAUAUACAAUGAGACGCUCUUGUCCUUCAGCACAAUAACCACGUAGGCUAAGCAGAUUCUUGUGUCGAACACGUGCUAGUAUCUCAACCUCAACAGCAAAUUCCAAAUCUGCUUACCUUCAACCUUUUAACAGCAAUCUGCAAUGAAGUCUCUCAGAAUUUGGAUCCAGUUUAUAUGCAAAAUGGUGGAUACAUAAUGAGAACAGAAGAUUCUUGCCAAUGUAAAGUGGAUAUUAUUCAAUAAAUUGAAGAAUAUUCAAUUCAGGAUAAUAUAUGAAAAUUAAGCAAGCAUCGCUAAACAAUGCCAUUACCCGUUGGACUACCACCCAAGCGAGGUCUUGAGAAAUAAAUAAGAUCAUAAUUUGGUGACUAGAAUGAAGCCAGCUAGAAUUACAAAACCACACUCUAUAGGAAAAACCAUUUCUAAUGCGUGUAUGAUUAUAAACCAACCAACUCCACAAAAUCUCCAUUUUUAGUAGUUCUUGGAAAGAGCAUGUAUUAUCUGCUUUCCAAAAUAAGUUAAAAUCAACAACUAGAGAGAAGGAUAUCAUGAUAGGACCCUGACAGUUCAGAACCAAAACAUUUAUUUUUUUGGAGAAUUCUUUUUAAUUAAUAUAAUUAUAGAUUACGCCAUGGCUCCCCUAACAACCAAAGAUGAUUUAGUUUUCUGAUCUCUGUAAAAACAAAUUUCUUUAAAUAUAUGCGGGUAAGGCUUGAGACUGACCCUGAUAAAUGGAUCAGGUUGAAAAAAGAUCAUGCAAACUAUGCUGUCGAGUGAGACUACAAGUUGUUCUAGAAACCAAACCCAAUUUACUUAUAACCGUUAAGGAUUACUGGCAUUGUUUACACAGUAUUCCACUGUUAGAAUGUGUUAGCUAGAACUUAACUUUUCACCAAUUCACAUUCAGCUAUUAUUUUGUGUAUUUCCCAUAUGAUUUCGUACUAGGAAGGGAAUGUCAUAUUGUAACAAAGCCAAUGACUUUCUGGAUAACUGCUUUUGGGUUGGGGAUGGGGGGAAUGCUCCCACUUAAAUGACUUCUAUUUUGGUUAUAACCAUAUGCAAUCACAAAAUACUUCAUCAUUACUAUUCUAGCAUGAUUAAGAAAGCAAAAUUUAAUUUUCACACAAACAAGCUUGGAAAAUUAUUGUAAGAACAACAGAAUACCAUGAAGAGGAACCAUCCAAAAUACUUCUCUUAUGCUGUGAUGUAGAAACCUACAAAUGUCUUCGACCACUCCACUUAAACAGAGACCAUCUGAGCAGACAACAUUCAUCAAGACAUCUUAUUUCAUAAAUUGACAACAAAAUCUUCUCAAUGUAAUUGCAGAUGGGAUUUAUUUUGCACAGUAAACUAACUACAUAGCAGUGAAUUAAUUAUAAACAUAAAUAACAAAAAAUAAUUUUAAAAACAUAUGGAAGCUGAAAAAUAUUACUUGUGAUCCAUCCCAAAGCUGACCCCAGUAAACACUGCCAAAUCCUCCUUCUCCCAGCUUGUUAUCAUAAUUGAAGUUGUUUGUAGCUGCAUGUAGUUCCUUCAAGGAGAAGAUCCGCCAUGUUGG